rnacentral:rRNA from 1 species
UUGCACCUUUCAAGCGAGUGGCGAACGGGUGAGUAACACGUGGAUAACCUGCCUCAAGGCUGGGGAUAACAUUUGGAAACAGAUGCUAAUACCGAAUAAAACUUAGUAUCGCAUGAUAUCAAGUUAAAAGGCGCUACGGCGUCACCUAGAGAUGGAUCCGCGGUGCAUUAGUUAGUUGGUGGGGUAAAGGCUUACCAAGACGAUGAUGCAUAGCCGAGUUGAGAGACUGAUCGGCCACAUUGGGACUGAGACACGGCCCAAACUCCUACGGGAGGCUGCAGUAGGGAAUCUUCCACAAUGGGCGCAAGCCUGAUGGAGCAACGCCGCGUGUGUGAUGAAGGCUUUCGGGUCGUAAAGCACUGUUGUAUGGGAAGAAAUGCUAAAAUAGGGAAUGAUUUUAGUUUGACGGUACCAUACCAGAAAGGGACGGCUAAAUACGUGCCAGCAGCCGCGGUAAUACGUAUGUCCCGAGCGUUAUCCGGAUUUAUUGGGCGUAAAGCGAGCGCAGACGGUUGAUUAAGUCUGAUGUGAAAGCCCGGAGCUCAACUCCGGAAUGGCAUUGGAAACUGGUUAACUUGAGUGUUGUAGAGGUAAGUGGAACUCCAUGUGUAGCGGU